rnacentral:rRNA from 1 species
CCUACGGGUGGCAGCAGUGAGGAAUAUUGGUCAAUGGACGCAAGUCUGACCCAGCCAUGCCGCGUGCAGGAAGACGGCUCUAUGAGUUGUAAACUGCUUUUGUACGAGGGUAAACGCAGAUACGCGUAUCUGUCUGAAAGUAUCGUACGAAUAAGGCUCGGCUAACUCUGUGCCAGCAGCCGCGGUAAUACGGAGGAUUCAAGCGUUCUCCGGAUUUAUUGGGUUUAAAGGGUGCGUAGGAGGUCGGAUAAGUUAGAGGUGAAAUCCCGAGGCUCAACUUCGGAAUUGCCUCUGAUACUGUGCGGCUAGAGAGUAGUUGCGGUAGGCGGAAUGUAUGGUGUAGCGGUGAAAUGCUUAGAGAUCAUACAGAACACCGAUUGCGAAGGCAGCUUACCAAGCUACUUCUGACGUUGAGGCACGAAAGCGUGGGGAGCAAACAGGAUUAGAUACCCUAGUAGUC